GACGAACCGUGCGAACGUUAUUCGGAAUCACUGGGCUUAAAGGGCGCGUAGGCGGCUUCCCAAGCCCGGGGUGAAAUCUUUCGGCUUAACCGGAAAGGGGCCUCGGGGACUGGGGGGCUAGAGGGGGGUAGGGGCAAGCGGAACUUCCGGUGGAGCGGUGAAAUGCGUUGAUAUCGGAAGGAACGCCGGCGGCGAAAGCGGCUUGCUGGACCCCAUCUGACGCUGAUGCGCGAAAGCCAGGGGAGCGAACGGG
rnacentral:rRNA from 1 species